rnacentral:rRNA from 1 species
AUUGAACGCUGGCGGCAGGACUAACACAUGCAAGUCGAACGGUAGCACAGAGAGCUUGCUCUCGGGUGACGAGUGGCGGACGGGUGAGUAAUGUCUGGGAAACUGCCCGAUGGAGGGGGAUAACUACUGGAAACGGUAGCUAAUACCGCAUAACGUCUACGGACCAAAGUGGGGGACCUUCGGGCCUCACACCAUCGGAUGUGCCCAGAUGGGAUUAGCUAGUAGGUGGGGUAAUGGCUCACCUAGGCGACGAUCCCUAGCUGGUCUGAGAGGGUGACCAGCCACACUGGAACUGUGACACGGUCCAGACUCCUACGGGAGGCAGCAGUGGGGAAUAUUGCACAAUGGGCGCAAGCCUGAUGCAGCCAUGCCGCGUGUAUGAGGAAGGCCUUCGGGUUGUAAAGUACUUUCAGCGGGGAGGAAGGGUUGCUGGUUAAUAACCAGCGACAUUGACGUUACCCUCAGAAGAAGCACCGGCUAACUCCGUGCCAGCAGCCGCAGUAA